GAAAAGAAACUAACUAGGAUUCCCCCAGUAACUGCGAGUGAAGAGGGAAGAGCUCAUCAUUGGAAUCUGGCAGCGUUGCGCUGUCCGAGUUGUAGAUGAGAAGAGUAGGACAUCUGGACUGCAUGGUGUCCAAGUACAAUAGGCCGUCAGUGGGACAUCAUAGAGGGUGACAAUCCCGUCCUUGACACCAAUGUACGAGUCCUUUACGAUGCCUAUCUCGGAGAGUCGAGCAGUUUGGGAUUUGCUGCUUAAACACGGGAGGUAGAUUCCUUCCAAAGCUAAAUACAGGCAAGAGACCGAUAGUGAACAAGUACCGCAAGGGAAAGAUGAAAUAGAACUCUGUGAAGGGAGUCAAAAAGACGUGAAAUUGUUGCGAGAGAAGCGAUUCAAGUCAGCGUAGCUGGGCCCAUCAAGCCUCGCGCUUUGGACCAGCUUUGCCAGCGGUCUUGUCCCUAGAGACUUGACUAAGGUGCCCUGCCCGGUCUAACGGACAGACCUCCCCUCUGGGGAGGCCAGUGGCAUGGCUGGUGGAAUGGCUUGCAAUCGACCCGUCUUGAAACACGGACCAAGGAGUCUAACAUGUACGCGAGUAUAAGGGUGGCAAACCCGUAUGCGCAAAGAAAGUGAUAGCCUAUGGCUGAGAAUGACCUGACGACCUGACAAGAAAUAUCAUGUCCCUCGUACGGUCAUUGCCCAAGUCCCAUGGUCAGAUCCCAUGGACAUGGAGUUGGAGCGUGCAUGCUAGGACCCGAAAGAUGGUGAACUAUGCCUGGACAAAGCGAAGCCAAAGGAAACUCUGGUGGAGGCUUGUAGCGAUUCUGACGUGCAAAUCGAUCGUCUGAUCUGGGUAUAGGGGCGAAAGACUAAUCGAACCA
rnacentral:rRNA from 1 species